rnacentral:misc_RNA from 1 species
CACUUGGCUGGUUUUGCCGUCCGCUGAGCGCCAGGCGCCAUCAUACCUGGCGCCAACGAUCCAGUCGCUUUCCGACUCGCUUUUCGGCUUUUCCGCCUCACGUACCGCCUGACCGACAUCCCGACCCUCUCAAACACUCUUAUUCGCCUGCGUACGUCUUCUGCGGCUCGGUGAUGCCUUGCAACGCCGCUGCGCAUUCAGCCA